rnacentral:rRNA from 1 species
GACGAACGCUGGCGGCGUGCCUAAUACAUGCAAGUAGAACGCAGUUGCGAACGGGUGAGUAACGAGUAGGUAACUACCUAUUAGAAGGGGAUAACUAUUGGAAACGAUAACUAAUACAGCAUACUGGUAAAUGGACCUGCGGUUUAUUAGCUGGUAGUUAGGGUAAUGGCCUACCUAGGCCACGAUACAUAGCCGACCUGAGAGGUUGACAGGCCACACUGGGACUGAGACACGGCCCAGACUCCUACGGGAGGCAGCAGUAGGGAAUCUUCGUCAAUGGGGGGAACCCUGACCCAGCAACGCCGCGUGAUUGAAGAAGGUUUUCGGAUCGUAAAGCUCUGUUGUUAAUGAAGCGGUACCUAACCAGAAAGGGACGGCUAACUACGUGCCAGCAGCCGCGGUAAUAC